UUUUCCGGUUGAUCCUGCCAGAGGCUACUGCUAUCGGGGUUCGAUUAAGCCAUGCGAGUUAAAUGUUCUUUGUGAACAUAGCGAACUGCUCAGUAACACGUGGAUAACUUACCCUUAGGACUGGAAUAACCCCGGGAAACUGGGGAUAAUACCAGAUAAGCCAUAGACGCUGGAAUGCCCUAUGGUUCAAAGCUCAGGCGUCUAAGGAUAGAUCUGCGGUCUAUCAGGUUGUAGUGGGUGUAACGUACCUACUAGCCGACGACGGAUACGGGUUGUGAGAGCAAGAGCCCGGAGAUGGAUUCUGAGACACGAAUCCAGGCCCUACGGGGUGCAGCAGGCGCGAACACUUUACAAUGCGGGAAACCGCGAUAAGGGAACCCCGAGUGCCAGCAUCAAAUGUUGGCUGUCCAGAUGAUUAAAAAUCAUUUGUUAGCAAGGGCCGGGCAAGACCGGUGCCAGCCGCCGCGGUAACACCGGCGGCCCGAGUGGUAGCCGUUUUUAUUGGGUCUAAAGGGUCCGUAGCCGGCUUGAUAAGUCCUUUGGGAAAUCUGGCAGCUUAACUGUCAGGCUUCUAAGGGAUACUGUCAAGCUUGGGACCGGAAGAGGUAAGGGGUACUCCAGGGGUAGGAGUGAAAUCUUGUAAUCCCUGGGGGACCAUCUGUGGCGAAGGCGCCUUACCAGAACGGGUCCGACGGUGAGGGACGAAAGCUAGGGGAGCAAACCGGAUUAGAUACCCGGGUAGUCCUAGCUGUAAACGAUGUUCGCUAGGUGUCAGACACGGUGCGACCGUGUUUGGUGCCGCAGGGAAGCCGUUAAGCGAGCCACCUGGGAAGUACGGUCGCAAGGCUGAAACUAAAGGAAUGGCGGGGCAGCAACUACAAACAGGAUAGUCA
rnacentral:rRNA from 1 species